GUGGGGGCGGGAGGCGGUGGGAAAGGGCGCGGGGAGAGCCCCACCAGACCCAGGACUCCGCCCCCAGGCGGCCACCCAGAGGAACCAGGGCGUUCACAGCAGCUGCGCACGGGCGGGCGGACAUCCAUCAACACGUGGGGCGGAGCCACCCAAGGGGCCCGGCCAGCCACAAGGAGGACUGAAGCACUGGCCCGGCAGCCACGUGGACGAACCCUGAAAACACGCUAAGCAAGAGAGGCCAGGCCACAAGGCCACCUGUCACGUGAUUCUUUUUCUAUGAAACACGCAGAAACGCUUAAGAAGCUUUGACUGAGAUAUGACUCAUGUCAAAGGAGAUUCAGCAGUGGAUUUACUGUGUCAGCUGCUUAAAACCACAAACAGGAAGCUCAGCCAAUGCAUUUAAAUCCACGCAUUCAUGAUGGUAGUUUUUUUUUUUUUUUAAUGAAACUUCACUGGUCACCUCUAGAAAGAACUCAUUCUGAAAAAGGAAUAAAUAAAGAAAAAGAAGCAAGCAGCUGGAACCCCUGGGCUCAAUCUCUGGUACCAAAAAAAAAAAGAAAAUCAUGAAUUUCCUUAUGAAGUCUUGAAUUUGCUUCAGCAUAAUCCAGUGUUUGG